rnacentral:rRNA from 1 species
GAUGAACGCUGGCGGCGUGCCUAAUACAUGCAAGUCGAGCGAACGGACGAGAAGCUUGCUUCUCUGAUGUUAGCGGCGGACGGGUGAGUAACACGUGGAUAACCUACCUAUAAGACUGGGAUAACUUCGGGAAACCGGAGCUAAUACCGGAUGAUAUUUUGAACCGCAUGGUUCAAAAGUGAAAGACGUUCUUGCUGUCACUUAUAGAUGGAUCCGCGCUGCAUUAGCUAGUUGGUAAGGUAACGGCUUACCAAGGCAACGAUGCAUAGCCGACCUGAGAGGGUGAUCGGCCACACUGGAACUGAGACACGGUCCAGACUCCUACGGGAGGCAGCAGUAGGGAAUCUUCCGCAAUGGGCGAAAGCCUGACGGAGCGACGCCGCGUGAGUGAUGAAGGUCUUCGGAUCGUAAAACUCUGUUAUUAGGGAAGAACAUAUGUGUAAGUAACUGUGCACAUCUUGACGGUACCUAAUCAGAAAGCCACGGCUAACUACGUG